GACGAACGCUGGCGGCGUGCCUAAUACAUGCAAGUCGAACGCAGUGGGGACGGGUGAGUAACACGUGGGUAACCUCCCAUCAGAGGGGAUAACACUUGGAAACAGGUGCUAAACCGAUACUGAUGGAUGGACCCGCGGUGCAUUAGCUAGUUGGUGAGGAAACGGCUCACCAAGGCCACGAUGCAUAGCCGACCGUAGAGGGGGAUCGGCAACACGGGGACUGGAAAACGGCCCAGACUCCUACGGUAGGCAGCAGUGGGGAAUCUUCGGAAAUGGAGGAAAGUUGGACCGGGCAACGCCGGGUAGGUGAAGAAGGUUUUCGAAUCGUAAAACUCGGUGUUUAGAGAAGCGGUAUCUAACCGGAAAGCCACGGCUAACUACGUGCCAGAGCCGCGGUAAUUC
rnacentral:rRNA from 1 species